rnacentral:rRNA from 1 species
UGAUCCGGUGGUUCUGAAUGGAAGGGCCAUCGCUCAACGGAUAAAAGGUACUCCGGGGAUAACAGGCUGAUACCGCCCAAGAGUUCAUAUCGACGGCGGUGUUUGGCACCUCGAUGUCGGCUCAUCACAUCCUGGGGCUGAAGUAGGUCCCAAGGGUAUGGCUGUUCGCCAUUUAAAGUGGUACGCGAGCUGGGUUUAGAACGUCGUGAGACAGUUCGGUCCCUAUCUGCCGUGGGCGCUGGAGAACUGAGGGGGGCUGCUCCUAGUACGAGAGGACCGGAGUGGACGCAUCACUGGUGUUCGGGUUGUCAUGCCAAUGGCACUGCCCGGUAGCUAAAUGCGGAAGAGAUAAGUGCUGAAAGCAUCUAAGCACGAAACUUGCCCCGAGAUGAGUUCUCCCUGACCCUUUAA